GAUUAACGCUAGCGGCAGGCCUAAUACAUGCAAGUUGAACGGGAUUAAGUAGCAAUACUUAUGAGAGUGGCGCACGGGUGCGUAACGCGUAUGCAAUCUACCUUUAACUGGGGAAUAGCCCCGAGAAAUCGGGAUUAAUACCGCAUAACAUUAUCGAAUGGCAUCAUUUGAUACUCAAAACUACGGUGGUUAAAGAUGAGCAUGCGUGACAUUAGCUAGUUGGUGAGGUAACGGCUCACCAAGGCUCCGAUGUCUAGGGGGUCUGAGAGGAUGAUCCCCCACACUGGUACUGAGACACGGACCAGACUCCUACGGGAGGCAGCAGUAAGGAAUAUUGGUCAAUGGACGCAAGUCUGAACCAGCCAUGCCGCGUGCAGGAUGACUGCCCUAUGGGUUGUAAACUGCUUUUGUACGGGAAGAAACCACUUUACGUGUAAAGUGCUGACGGUACCGUAAGAAUAAGGAUCGGCUAACUCCGUGCCAGCAGC
rnacentral:rRNA from 1 species